UACGGAGGAUGCGAGCGUUAUCCGGAUUUAUUGGGUUUAAAGGGUGCGUAGGCGGCUUAGUAAGUCAGCGGUGAAAUUUUGCAGCUUAACUGUAACAGUGCCGUUGAUACUGCCAGGCUAGGAUUUGGUUGCUGUGGGUGGAAUGUGUGGUGUAGCGGUGAAAUGCUUAGAUAUCACACAGAAUAUCGACUGCGAAGGCAGCUCACAAAGCCAAGAUUGACGCUGAGGCACGAAAGUGUGGGGAUCAAACA
rnacentral:rRNA from 1 species